rnacentral:lncRNA from 1 species
AAUAGUAACAGGAAUUUAGGUAGUUGUGAUUUAUCUGUGCCUCUUUUUGUAUGACUGGGUGACUGCAAUGAACUUGUUCUAACAGGGAUAAUGCUCCCAAAAGCUAUUGGAGCUGGAAUUCUCUGUCUUCUGGCUGGCACCCUAGCAUCUCAAGAUGCUGUUCCUGUGUGUGGAAUGACAGGACAAUCCAUCACUCUUCAAGCAGAAGUACCAAAUGUACACGAGGAGGUCAUUCAGUGGGCACACAAUAACACAAUCAUUGCACAUUGGGAUGAAGAAGAGCAACAAACAAAAUGCCUUUUUCUAAACACGGAGUUUGACAAGCAAACGUUGUCUCUAACCAUCUCAGAUCUCAAAUCAAAUUGGAGUGGCUUUUAUGCAUUUAAAAUAAAUAAUGACGUAUGUAUCAGCUCACUGUAACUGGUGAGUCAUUGCUGAGUUUUUUUCCCCUUGUGUUGAUCAGCCAAACAGCUUUAGUCUUUAAAUGUGGUAAAAGUAAACUAUAAACAAAGCAUUGCUUUAAAAUGUAAUAGACCAACAAAAGAUGAAAUGGAUGUGCUGAAAAAAAGCUUUAUUAACACAACAGACAAUUGCAAGUCUGCCAAUCAUUUCUAUUCUCAAAUGUAUCAUUUCAAUCUAAUACACCUGAAGAGAAUAGUGAAAAAACGACAAACCACGUCAGAGAUUUAAGAAAAAGAUUAAAAAAAAAAAAAAGUCUGAACAGCAAUACACAUCAAAACAGAGGAAGGAGAUACCAUGUAUGAUUGUGACGCUUCUGUAUCAAUACCUAAAGGUCUUUACAUGAUUCCUGCAUUGGUGCUCUCACAUAAUGUGUGUUCCACCUAUGCAUAUUUUAACUAUGAUAGCACAGACUUUAAAUGAAGACAAAAUAUAGGGCAUGGGGGAGCUGCCUGGCAACGACACAUAGAAAUACAGAGCUCAUGCUUAAUGGCAUAAUGGCAGUAUUUGUGUGAGAAAACGUGUCUUUAGCAUGCAAAAAUAGAGCAUCAUAUUAAACAACAACAGCAACGGGGCACCUUUUCCCUUUUUCCAGUAAGAACUGAUCAUCUAACUUUCAUCCUACUGUAGGUAUCAUUGAUGUACUUUCAUGUAGUCUACCUAAACUACACAGAUCUGUUGUCUACUGUGAGUAACCCAAUAAAAUAUCUUACCAUGCCUCA